CCGUAGGCAGCAGUGGGGAAUAUUGCACAAUGGGCGCAAGCAUGACGCAGCGACGCMGCGUGAGGGAUGACGGCAUUCGGGUUGUAAACCUCUUUCAGUAGGGACGAAGCGAAAGUGACGGUACCUACAGAAGAAGGCCAACUACGUGCCAGCAGCCGCGGUAAUACGUAGGGUCCGAGCGUUGUCCGGAAUUACUGGGCGUAAAGAGCUCGUAGGUGGUUUGUCGCGUUGUUCGUGAAAACUCMCAGCUUAACUGUGGGCGUGCGG
rnacentral:rRNA from 1 species